rnacentral:rRNA from 1 species
AGCAGCCGCGGUAAUUCCAGCUCCAAUAGCGUAUAUUAAAGUUGUUGCAGUUAAAAAGCUCGUAGUUGAACUUCGGGGUUUACCCAUUGGUCAGGCUUAAUUGUCUGUACUGGUGAGAUAAAUCUCUACCUUCUGAGGAACUUUCAUGCCAUUUAGUUGGUGUGAUAGGAAAUCAGGACUGUUACUUUGAAAAAUUAGAGUGUUUAAAGCAGGCUAACGUCUGAAUACAUUAGCAUGGAAUAAUGAAAUAGGACGGAUUGGUUCUAUUUCGUUGGUUUCUAGGAUCACCGUAAUGAUUAAUAGGGAUAGUUGGGGGCAUUAGUAUUCAAUUGUCAGAGGUGAAAUUCUUGGAUUUAUUGAAGACUAACUAUUGAGAAAGCAUUUGCCAAGGAUGUUUUCAUUAAUCAAGAACGAAAGUUAGGGGAUCGAAGACGAUCAGAUACCGUCGUAGUCUUAACCAUAAACUAUGCCGACUAGGGAUCGGACGAAGUUAAUUUUAUAAUGACGCGUUCGGCACCUU